AUUUAAACACCUUGGAUUUUCUACUGGGUCUUGGCUUCUGUUCCCACAGGCCCUGAGCCUGAGGAGCAGGACUCGGUGGGGGUCACAAGAGGCUGCUGCUCAGAGUCUGCGCUCUGCAUGUGGGAAAGGGGUCCCACCUGUCUGGGGUGGGCAGCCUCGUGGUCCAGGGCAGUGCAGGGCAGAGCCUGGCCUGUGCGAUCACAGCCGCCGCCUUUCUCCCGGGAGCCUCUACUUCCUCCAAAAUGGGCCUUGUGCCAGCCCCACCCACGGCGAGCGGACAAGUCCACGAGGGCAGGGCCCUGAGUACCUGGUGGGGGGGACACUCCUAGGGGGCACAGAGGGGGCUCCCACCUGGGCACCUGCCUCCUCCCCUUCUCUUCUUCCUCCACGUGCCAGGUGCGGCCCUGGGUUUGAGGAGCUGAGCCUCAGACACGUGCCCUGCCCUCAGGAAGCCGGAGGCACCCAAGUGGCCUUGGAAAUCCUGGCGGCGAGAACAGUAGCUGCCCAGGGACUAAGGGGGCUUCUGGGAGGACACACACUGGCCCAGGGUGAGGGGUGUCACUGCAGGGUGCCCCCCAGGCCCAGGGCCCGUCAGGGGACAGUAUGGUGACCUGGCCUACAGGUGGCAGUCGGUUCUGUGUGUCUGGGGCCCGCAGCACAGGUUGGGUGGGGGCUGAGGCAGAGGCAGCAGAAGUGGGCAAGGCCUGGGGGGCUCAGGCACUGGGCAUGGAGAGCAGACAGGAAGGCCUAGUGGGCACCACCCCCAGACCGUGGCUCCCACCCGUGCUGCCCCCACCCAUGGCCACGGCCACCGGGAACAGUGGGACCUGGGGUCUCCGAGGGACUCAGCAGGGUGGGCACAGACCAGUGGGGUCUGGGCUAGAGAGAGCCGGCUCCCAGCCUCUUGCUUUCUGGGCUGAGGACAUGGGGAUCCAAGGCCAGUGGGUCUGCAGGGCCCAGCCAGGUUGCCUGAUAAGAUAGGCCCACCAGGCGGCCCCCGUGUCUCACUCUGUCAGCAGGUGGGGGCGUGGUGCUCCCCAGGGACCUGCUGCCAAGGGGCAGUUUCUGGAGGCUGGGGGCACUGGCCGGGCUCUAGGCCUGCUCUGCCCUUGCCAUGGGGAAGGCUGUCCUGUUAGGGAUCGAGUUGCUCAAAUCUGCGUUUGGAGGGUGCGUGGCCGAGGGCUCCCCUUCUGGAGACCCAGACACCGUGUGGGCUCUGGGCGGCAGAGGCUGAGGUGUCGGGGGCUGAGCUCCUAUGUCAGCAACACUUCAGGCCUGCGCUUUAGGACAGGGGAGAAGUCAGUUUCCCCCAAAUGCCCCCUCGGACCAGCCAAGGACUGUGCCAGGAAACUGACAUGCUCGGCGCUCACGCCAGCUGGGACAGCGACUGAGCCCAGAGAGAUGGAGCAAGUUGCCUGAGGUCACAGAGCAGGGACUUGGACACCAGGGAGCCAGCUCCACAGAGGCCCUCUCUCCUCCCGGCCUCCUGACCCUCAGCCGCCUCCGCCCCGCGGGCCCCGACAGAGGAGCGGGCCGCGAGGCAGGCAGGAGCCGCGUGUCUGGGCCCAGCGCACCUGCCAAGCUCUCUAGCCUCUCCUGGCCUCAGUGUCCUCGUCUGGGAGAUGGUCCAGCUGAAAAUCCCCAGCAUCCACAAGAAAGGGUGGAAGCUCUGGGGGCCCUGGCCUGGCCCGGGUGCAGGCUGCUUGGCCGGGCGGGGCGGCGUCUCCUUUCACAGCUUCCCCGUCUGUCCACGGCCUCCAGGAGCCCCACACAGGGCCGGGGCUCUGUGCCCUCAACUCACACCCGUCAGCUCCCCGAGGAGGAGCAGGCUGGGCCCAGGGCCGCAGGGUGGGCUGCAGGGAGGUCUGACUUAGCUGGGGAAAGUGCCAUCCCUGCCAUUGCUAGUGACAAGCUGGGGCUGCCGUGGCCCCAGCACAGAUUCAGCACUCACUGCACCAUGUGCCGGCUGCUGCACACUCACCUCCACACCCAACUCACAGGAAGCGAGGCUGGGAAGGAGGGAACUGGCCCCAGGCCACACAGAUGCUGAGAGUUGGGAUUAUGAUCGGGUGCAGUGGCUCACGCCUGUAAUUCCAGCACUUGGGGAGGCCAAGGCGAGUGGAUUGCUUGAGCCCAGGAGUCUGAGACCAGCCUGGGCAACAUGGUAAAACCCCAUCUCUAC
rnacentral:sRNA from 1 species